UACGGAGGGGGCUAGCGUUGUUCGGAAUUACUGGGCGUAAAGCGCGCGUAGGCGGCUUUGUAAGUUAGAGGUGAAAGCCCAGGGCUUAACCCUGGAAUUGCCUUUAAGACUGCAUCGCUAGAAUCGUGGAGAGGUGAGUGGAAUUCCGAGUGUAGAGGUGAAAUUCGUAGAUAUUCGGAAGAACACCAGUGGCGAAGGCGGUUCUCUGGGCAUUACCUGGACGCUGAGGAGCGAAA
rnacentral:rRNA from 1 species